rnacentral:lncRNA from 1 species
AAGACAUAGAAUGAUUAUUUUUUUAAAAAAUAAAGAGUUAAUAAAACAAAAACAGAAAGAAAGUCCAUAUAAAUACAUGUGGGUGGAUGAAAACCAUACACUCAUUUGCAGCAUCCAAAAUAGUUAAGAAUAUGAUAGAACAAUCAAAUAUUUACAAACACUUGUUAAAUCGAGUGAACAUUCAUCUCAAAGUUCGAUCAUAAAAAGGCAAAACAAAAUACACGAAAUGAAUUUAACACUUAUCUAACUUGGAAAGCGCUUCAAAACUUUUUAAAUAAACAAGUCGUGCUUCAUGCAUAUCUACUUCACAUUGCUACAAAUUACGCAAAAAAAUCCGUAAAAAAAGAAGUACCAAAUUCCGAGAAAAAUUCAAAAUACAAAAAAAGCAUACCGAUGUCAAUAACUUAUUACAGAUAUAACCUGAAGAACCAAAAAAAUAAUAAAAAAAUCCGAAUGCGAUCGUAGUCUUUUAAAGCAGAAGAUCUCAGUUAAGGGACACAUUACUCUUAAAUCACUGAGACUAACUUCUUAGUAAGCAAGGUC